GACGAACGCUGGCGGCGUGCCUAAUACAUGCAAGUCGAACGAACUCUGGUAUUGAUUGGUGCUUGCAUCAUGAUUUACAUUUGAGUGAGUGGCGAACUGGUGAGUAACACGUGGGAAACCUGCCCAGAAGCGGGGGAUAACACCUGGAAACAGAUGCUAAUACCGCAUAACAACUUGGACCGCAUGGUCCGAGUUUGAAAGAUGGCUUCGGCUAUCACUUUUGGAUGGUCCCGCGGCGUAUUAGCUAGAUGGUGAGGUAACGGCUCACCAUGGCAAUGAUACGUAGCCGACCUGAGAGGGUAAUCGGCCACAUUGGGACUGAGACACGGCCCAAACUCCUACGGGAGGCAGCAGUAGGGAAUCUUCCACAAUGGACGAAAGUCUGAUGGAGCAACGCCGCGUGAGUGAAGAAGGGUUUCGGCUCGUAAAACUCUGUUGUUAAAGAAGAACAUAUCUGAGAGUAACUGUUCAGGUAUUGACGGUAUUUAACCAGAAAGCCACGGCUAACUACGUGCCAGCAGCCGCGGUAAUACGUAGGUGGCAAGCGUUGUCCGGAUUUAUUGGGCGUAAAGCGAGCGCAGGCGGUUUUUUAAGUCUGAUGUGAAAGCCUUCGGCUCAACCGAAGAAGUGCAUCGGAAACUGGGGAACUUGAGUGCAGAAGAGGACAGUGGAACUCCAUGUGUAGCGGUGAAAUGCGUAGAUAUAUGGAAGAACACCAGUGGCGAAGGCGGCUGUCUGGUCUGUAACUGACGCUGAGGCUCGAAAGUAUGGGUAGCAAACAGGAUUAGAUACCCUGGUAGUCCAUACCGUAAACGAUGAGUGCUAAGUGUUGGAGGGUUUCCGCCCUUCAGUGCUGCAGCUAACGCAUUAAGCAUUCCGCCUGGGGAGUACGGCCGCAAGGCUGAAACUCAAAGGAAUUGACGGGGGCCCGCACAAGCGGUGGAGCAUGUGGUUUAAUUCGAAGCUACGCGAAGAACCUUACCAGGUCUUGACAUACUAUGCAAAUCUAAGAGAUUAGACGUUCCCUUUGGGGACAUGGAUACAGGUGGUGCAUGGUUGUCGUCAGCUCGUGUCGUGAGAUGUUGGGUUAAGUCCCGCAACGAGCGCAACCCUUAUUAUCAGUUGCCAGCAUUAAGUUGGGCACUCUGGUGAGACUGCCGGUGACAAACCGGAGGAAGGUGGGGAUGACGUCAAAUCAUCAUGCCCCUUAUGACCUGGGCUACACACGUGCUACAAUGGAUGGUACAACGAGUUGCGAACUCGCGAGAGUAAGCUAAUCUCUUAAAGCCAUUCUCAGUUCGGAUUGUAGGCUGCAACUCGCCUACAUGAAGUCGGAAUCGCUAGUAAUCGCGGAUCAGCAUGCCGCGGUGAAUACGUUCCCGGGCCUUGUACACACCGCCCGUCACACCAUGAGAGUUUGUAACACCCAAAGUCGGUGGGGUAACCUUUUAGGAACCAGCCGCCUAAGGUGGGACAGAUGAUUAGGGUG
rnacentral:rRNA from 3 species